rnacentral:lncRNA from 1 species
UUUGAUUAUUGUGAGAGUAGCUGUGUGCUUAAGUGUGUGUAUGUUUUGUACACUGUAUGUGUGUGUCUCUGUGUCAGAUGCUCCUACGUUAUCUCGUCUGUUGGAAAGCGCCACCCAGCGCAGCCACCUGUCAUUGCUGAUCCCCCUAAGCCCCCCACAGUGGUCCUCCCAGCCCCGGACCACCUCUCUGUGCCCAAAACAGGAGCUGCAGCCAUUUGCUGAAGGUUCUGGUGCAGAAGCAGUAAUGUCAGGGUCAUCCACGCCGGCUGAGGUGGAGGGGAAGGAGGCAGAGCUGGUGGAGGAGGACACAGUGAUGUCAGUGUCAUACAUGGCCACGAACUGGACCUGGAGACAGUGGGAGACAUCAUUGCAAUCAUAGAGGAGAAGGUAAUAUGCACACAAACACAUGUGUAUGGUUGGGAUGUGCGAUUGGUUGCUACUUCAUGUCAUGUCAAAGGGAUAGUUUAUCCAAAAGUUUAAGUUCUGUCAUCAUAUACUUUGCCCCUCCAAGUAAACCUGGACAAGUUUCUAUUUUCUGUUGAGCACAAAAAAUAUAUUUGGAAGAAUUGUUGCUAACCAACCAAUUGACUUCCAUAGUAUUGAAAAAAAUACAAUGGACGUCCGCGUGUACCAUUCAUCUCUCUGACCAAUUUAUUACAGACUCCUAAACAGAAAACAGUUCAAAAAAGCUUUUCCUUUCUGUUGCCAAAAAGUAAACUAAUAUAUCUGUCUUAGGUGGACGAUCCUGUGGAGGCUUUGGACGCAGCCGCAGUGGAGGCAGCUCUCUCCUCUCUGUGAGGACCCAGCGGUCAAUGGCCACCCCCUCACCAGUCCUUGGGAGUCACAGACUUUAAGGCAGCCGAACCAGAGCCCAUCGUCCAGCAGAGUCCUGCCCCAGCGGUCACACAGAGCAAGCCCUGAGCCUGGGGUGGUGCAAGGAGAAAUGGAGGUUCUGGUAGAGAAGGCUACAGAACCGAAGCAGUUGAUGAAGUGACAGGGGACACUGUGGCACCUGCCGCCCCUGAACACAGAGCAGAGCCAGGACUCUGAGGUUAAGACUGAGGGUGAGAGGGAAGGAACGGAAGAAGGAGGGAAGGAGGAAGCGCAGCAGGAGAACAGAACCUGAGUCCAGUUGUGAAGUGUGAGGGGGAGGACUGGGUUCAGCCAGACACCAUGACGCCCUGUCUGGAC